GGGCAGAGUAGGCUCUGGCAGUGCCUGGAUGGCAGAAGAAGGUAGGUGAGGUAGGCAUGACGGGAAGAGGAGACAGGACCCAGGCGCGGGGGCAAGCCUACCGGGUGGGCAGCAUCAGAGAGGCCGGGGGUGUGAGACAAGUCCAGAGCGGGGAUCGGGCCCACGGAGGGGGCGAGGGGGUAGGGCCCCCGAGGGACAGGAACGGACGGAAGUAAGGAAGAUGGCGAGCCAAGGAGAGGCGCCCCAAGUAGGGCCGGGGGAGGCAAGGAAAGCCUACCCGGCACCGGACAGGCAAGGGGUGAGUCCUGCAGUCAGGUAGGCAGCCGUAAGAGAGGGCCAGAGGAACGGAUGCACAGAGAGAUGGGGGCGUGCACCGGGUAGGCAGAGGACCCAGUCGGAUGAGGAGGAGUCGCAUAGAGGAGGCGUACCAGCGGCGAAGGAGAACGCCGCUUCUGUGGAGAAGCAGAGGCGUGGUGGAG
rnacentral:lncRNA from 1 species